GCUUUUUCUCAGCCCCUUCUUUGGACUCGUGACAGGGGCAAACGUUUACUCAGCCCACCACGCUCAGCCCCUUGCGUGAGGGAGCAUGUGAACGAGCGAGUGCAGGACCCAGCCGGCCGCUCUGGGAGUCGACACAGGAGAAGGCUUCAUGCACAGCCAGACCAGGCAUGAGCCAGCGAGUGCGGGACCCGGCCGGCUGCUCCAGGCGCCGCACAUGGGCAGACUAGGUACAGGUGGAUGAGCUUCGCUGGAGCAGGAAGGCCCUGGUCCUGGCUGAAAGAACACCUAAGACCAAGGAGAGAAUGCAAAAUGAUGAAGCAGGAGCCUGCACCACAACCAGCAGCCAAUCAGAGAGGAAAAGGAACCAAAUGCUGGGCAAUCAAAUGCAAGAAAAAAAGCAGUGAGAUUUUUCAUUGAAAUAAAAAUGCAAAAAAAAAAACAAAAA
rnacentral:lncRNA from 1 species